AAUAAAAUGGCUGAGUUUUAAGCGAUAAAUUGUAAAUUUAUUUACGAGAAAUGUUCUCUUUUAUUA